rnacentral:rRNA from 1 species
UACGGAGGGUGCAAGCGUUAUCCGGAUUCACUGGGUUUAAAGGGUGCGUAGGUGGGCAGGUAAGUCAGUGGUGAAAUCUCCGAGCUUAACUCGGAACUGCCGUUGAUACUAUUUGUCUUGAAUAUUGUGGAGGUAAGCGGAAUAUGUCAUGUAGCGGUGAAAUGCUUAGAUAUGACAUAGAACACCAAUUGCGAAAGGCAGCUUACUACACAACGAUUGACGCUGAGGCACGAAAGCGUGGGGAUCAAACAGG